CUGGCAGCCCGACACCACCACCACCACCAUCGCCACCAUCACACACACUGCAGCUCUCAAACGCAAGCCUUCCCCCGGCAAACACGCACUGCUACACUCACUGGGGUACUGGCGCGUUAAAAGGCCGACAACCCCAGACAGGGUGGCCGGGACAAAGCAUCACACACUCAUACACACAUCAUUCACACUCUUAGCCCCGUCAACUCCCGGUGGAAUGGGAAAGUCUCAUGGACUACGCUACUCAGGAACUUAUGCAUAGCACAGCUGACAACAAAUAUCCACAGCAAGGUCCGACAACAUACAUUGGUUUACCUCUGCCUCUUCACAACGAGACUGUUUCCUACUUCGCAUCUACUCCAAUCCAGAGUACUUCCUACAGAGUGCCCCUUGACCAGUAUAAAUAAUCUUGUUUAAUUCACUGAGAGACCUUCAUUUGCUCUGACUCAGUAAAACCAACACAUCGUCUUCCUUAUUCCAUGAAGCCAUCUGAACUCUACUAAAAUCCUUUGGCGAGUGCUUAACAAGUAUGAAGGCACAGGAAGAAAGGAAUGAAGGAGUGAACGAAGAAAGAAAAACAGAAAGAAAGAAGAAACAAAGAAGAAAGGAAAAAAGGAAGAAAGAAAGAAAGGAAGGAAGGAAGGUAGAAAGGAAGGAGAGAGAGAGAGAGAGAGAGAGAGAGAGAGAGAGAGAGAGAGAGAGAGAGAGAGAGAGAGAGAGAGAGAGAGAGAGAGUCCAAGCGUGUCAGAAAGAGCUGUUCUUACCACGACAGAAAACAAAACAGCCAAAGAAGACACGCCAGUACAUCACAACUCUAUCAAAAACCGGCAUACGUAUUCUUAAAAAUUUCGGUGUCUUACGGUGGCCACUUCUCACAGGCUCCGGUGAAAGUUGCAGUAGUUUUCAAGGGUAUUUUCAUGAUACUGGUGAUGGUUUAACAAGGAUUCUUCACUGUCAGUACAAAAGACACACAUGGGAAACCGAAUAAUAAUCUCUGCAGCUUUUAAAAAUUUGUCCUUAUGAGGGACCCAGACGUUUAUGAAUACUGGACACAAAACGGAAACCAAACACCGUAACUACUAAUACCAUACUACUUAGUGUCCUAUUAGUAACUUUCAAGAAUUGGUUACGUACAAAGAAGGGGAAGCUACUGACCGUGUCAUCAAUAAUGACACACACACACACACACACACACACACACACACACACACACACACACACACACACACACACACAUACAUGGACCAUAGCAGUGCAACAACAACAACAACAACAACAACAACAGGGCAACACGAGAAGUAAAAAUGACCACCGGAAAGGCUCGUAACGAGCCAUUAUUGUGGCCCUGCAUCUCUCUCUCUCUCUCUCUCUCUCUCUCUCUCUCUCUCUCUCUCUCUCUCUCUCUCUCUCUCUGAGAGAGAGAGAGAGAGAGAGAGAGAGAGAGAGAGAGAGAGAGAGAGAGAGAGUGUGUGUGUGUGUGUGUGUGUGUGUGUGCGAGUGAAACGGAGAACAAGAACAAGAACAAAACAAGAACAAGCAAAACAAGAACAAGAAGAGAAUGAAGAAAAAGAAGAACAAUAACAACAACAACAAAAGGAAAAGAAAAACCUGAUGAGAACACAAAAGAAAGCGAAAGAGGAGGAAUACAAAAUGAAGAA